rnacentral:rRNA from 1 species
AUUGAACGCUGGCGGCAGGCCUAACACAUGCAAGUCGAACGGCAGCACGGGUGCUUCUUCCUGGUGCCGAGGGGGGGAGGGGUGAGUAUUACAUCGAAAUAGGUCUUGAAGUGUGGGAUAGGCCGGAGAAAGGCGGAUUUACACCACAAACGCUUAACGGAUAAGAGGGGGAGCCGUGCAUCUUCCGCCCUUGCGGGAUUGCAGGUGGCGAUGUCGGAUUAGCUAGUUGGUGGGGUAAAGGCCUACCAAGGCGACGAUCCGUAGCUGGUCUGAGAGGAUGACCAGCCACACUGGAACUGAGACACGGUCCAGACUCCUACGGGAGGCAGCAGUGGGGAAUAUUGGACAAUGGGCGAAAGCCUGAUCCAGCCAUGCCGCGUGUGUGAAGAAGGCCUUCGGGUUGUAAAGCCCUUUUGUUCGGAAAGAAAUGCAGGACGUUAAUACCGUGCUGUUCUGACGGUACCCAAAGAAUAAGCACCGGCUAACUUCGUG